AGUGAACGCUGGCGGUAGGCCUAACACAUGCAAGUCGAACGGCAGCACAGUAAGAGCUUGCUCUUACGGGUGGCGAGUGGCGGACGGGUGAGGAAUACAUCGGAAUCUACUUUUUCGUGGGGGAUAACGUAGGGAAACUUACGCUAAUACCGCAUACGACCUACGGGUGAAAGUAGGGGAUCUUCGGACCUUGCGCGAUUGAAUGAGCCGAUGUCGGAUUAGCUAGUUGGCGGGGUAAAGGCCCACCAAGGCGACGAUCCGUAGCUGGUCUGAGAGGAUGAUCAGCCACACUGGAACUGAGACACGGUCCAGACUCCUACGGGAGGCAGCAGUGGGGAAUAUUGGACAAUGGGCGCAAGCCUGAUCCAGCCAUACCGCGUGGGUGAAGAAGGCCUUCGGGUUGUAAAGCCCUUUUGUUGGGAAAGAAAAGCAGCAGGUUAAUACCCCGCUGUUCUGACGGUACCCAAAGAAGAAGCACCGGCGAACUUCGU
rnacentral:rRNA from 1 species